AAUUAUGUUUCUCUAUGGUGCUAUUAACUCAUGUAAUUAUGUAUCUUGUUACAUUAAUUAUACUUAAUUUUUACUAGGAAAAGCUUGCCUUGGUCAACAUAUAACUUAUUCUUAAUCAAUUUUUACUAGGAAAGGCUGUUAAAGUGUGUGAGAGUUCAGUUCUUCAAAAUCGUUUUGGUGUGUUUAAACAUUCAUAUUGGAUUGGAAAGCCAUUUGGUUCCGAAGUGUUUAGCUACAAGGGUGGAUUUGUUUACCUAUUGUCUCCAAUGUUGGAGUCAGAUUCUGUAUGUAGCCGCUAUUAGCUUCACAAUUAUGCAUUCUUUUUCUACUGAAGGUUCUGAAGGUCUAUACAUUUCCAUCAACAGUCACAGCCCUCCGUUUUGACUGUGGGACAUUGAUGAUACUUGUAAUAUGGGCAUCUAAUCUCUACCAUCGACCAAAGCGUACUCUUUCACAGAUACGAGUUUAUGUACUUAUUGAUAUAAAUACUGCUUGAAAUUAGUCCAAGAAGAUGCUUCUUCUGAAUGCUUGACCUUUCAAUUCUGUUCUGCCCUCUAGCAUAAGCUUUCGCAGAAGCGAGGAGAUCGACUUUUCAAGCAAAGCUUAUUUGCCAAAAAUGAUGGGCAAAUAGUCAGCCAUACCGGAAAUUUCUCUGAUUAAUGUUCUUUCAUCAAGAGCUAAGUUGACCGACUGGACAAAGUUAUAGGCACAUUUGCGAAUCAUAUCAUAUUUUAGAAUUAAGUACCUUUUUAUCUUGUAGUCCUUUGACUCAUUUUUCACAAUUUUAUGUUUACAGUGGCCUGCUUUCUGGAUAGUGUCCUCCCUCAUUCCAGUUGUAGGUAGGGUGGCAUUAGCAUCAUUCACAGAGAAAUCUUUUAAUCGGAUUGGUUUCUGUAUCGCAAUGGCUUCCAAUGUGACUAACCGAUGAGUAAUGUGCUUACUAAAAAGUUCAUGGUUAGAAAGGAGAUUAAAAGCACAUAACUCAGGACACUUUGGACAACAUCAAUCUCUUCUCUAUAAUAACCAUUAUUUCGAUUAUCCUAUUGGUUCAUGCUGCCAUUUUAUUGGAAGGUGUCAAGUCCACUUCUUCAUAUGUACAAUCUGCUGUAACCCAAGGUUUGAAUAUUAAAGAGCUAUGCAUAAGAUCUAUUGUGGCUGGAUUCUGCUUCCACAGUUAUCAACAGGUACUGCCGUGCCUCUUGUUGGAGUCUUCUUGUAUUUGAAAGCAAAGUGAAUGAAGCCAAAGCCGAAGGUUGAAUGAUCAAUUGUAUCAAAUUGUGAUGAUGACUUCAACACUGUAGAAUGUUCCCUAUUGCCUACUUCUCUUGCUUCAAAUUUUCAAAGAGAAAAUUCUCAAAUGUUUGGACUGUUUUUGUUACACUUGAUCAUGAGUAACAACUGGUAUGUCAAGCGAAACACAAUGAUAUCAAAGAAAGAGCUAAAUUCAAGUUUUGUUGGACUGUUAUGAUUGGUGGGUCUUAGUCAGGUACGUCCAUCAUGUGUCUUUGUAUAGAAAAAUGUACAAAAAUAAAAUCCUGCUAUUGAGGAUGAGGGUUGAAAUAAGAAAAUAGACUUAUUUGUUGCUAGUAAAAUGAUAACUGAAGGUGUUAUUGCUCAUGAAUAUUCAAUUAAAAUUAUCAAGG